rnacentral:rRNA from 1 species
GAAGGUGGGGAUGACGUCAAGUCAUCAUGGCCCUUACGGCCUGGGCUACACACGUGCUACAAUGGUCGGUACAAAGGGUUGCCAAGCCGCGAGGUGGAGCUAAUCCCAUAAAACCGAUCGUAGUCCGGAUCGCAGUCUGCAACUCGACUGCGUGAAGUCGGAAUCGCUAGUAAUCGUGAAUCAGAAUGUCACGGUGAAUACGUUCCCGGGCCUUGUACACACCGCCCGUCACACCAUGGGAGUGGGUUGCUCCAGAAGUAGCUAGUCUAACCUUCGGGGGGAC